GAAGUAAGUCAAUGGGUAAAAAUUCAAGGUUCAGGGUCUAGUUGGGGUUCCCCAGUGGGAGUUCGAGUCUCCCCUUCGGCACCA
rnacentral:tRNA from 1 species